rnacentral:rRNA from 1 species
GUGGGGAAUAUUGCGCAAUGGGGGAAACCCUGACGCAGCAACGCCGCGUGAGUGAUGAAGGCUUUCGAGUCGUAAAACUCUGUCUUUGGGGACGAAUAAUGACGGUACCCAAGGUGGAAGCCCCGGCUAACUACGUGCCAGCAGCCGCGGUAAUACGUAGGGGGCAAGCGUUGUCCGGAAUCACUGGGCGUAAAGGGCGCGUAGGCGGUUUGUUAAGUCAGGUGUGAAAGUUUUCAGCUUAACUGGAAAAGUGCACUUGAAACUAACUUACUUGAGUACUGGAGAGGUAAGCGGAAUUCCUAGUGUAGCGGUGAAAUGCGUAGAUAUUAGGAAGAACACCGGUGGCGAAGGCGGCUUACUGGACAGAGACUGACGCUGAGGCGCGAAAGCGUGGGGAGCGAACAGGAUUAGAUACCCCGGUAGUCC